rnacentral:rRNA from 1 species
UACGUAGGUGACAAGCGUUGUCCGGAUUUACUGGGCGUAAAGAGCGCGCAGGCGGUCGUUCAAGUCGAGUGUGAAAGCCCCCGGCUCAACUGGGGAGGGUCACUCGAUACUGAUCGACUCGAAGGCAGGAGAGGGAAGUGGAAUUCCCGGUGUAGCGGUGAAAUGUGUAGAGAUCGGGAGGAACACCGGUGGCGAAGGCGGGUCUCUGGGCAUUUCCUGACGCUGAGGCGCGAAAGCGUGGGGAGCAAACGGG